AGAACAGUCAAACUGGGGCAUUGCAAAUGCAAUCAAAAAAAUCAAAUCAAAAAAAUAAUAAAAAAGGAAAGAGGGUGAAAAAAUAAGAAAAAAUCAAAAAAUCAGGAAAAAAUUUUCAAAUCUUUUCAAAAGAAAAAAGAGAAAAAGCAUACCCUCAAGUCCCUAGUUGACUGAUGCUGAAUGGAUUCAGAGUCGUUAUGACCAACUGAAUUUGAUUGAAGAGAAGAGAUUGACU
rnacentral:lncRNA from 1 species